AGUGAACGCUGGCGGUAGGCCUAACACAUGCAAGUCGAACGGCAGCACAGUAAGAGCUUGCUCUUACGGGUGGCGAGUGGCGGACGGGUGAGGAAUACAUCGGAAUCUACUUUUACGUGGGGGAUAACGUAGGGAAACUUACGCUAAUACCGCAUACGACCUACGGGUGAAAGCAGGGGAUCUUCGGACCUUGCGCGAUUGAAUGAGCCGAUGUCGGAUUAGCUAGUUGGCGGGGUAAAGGCCCACCAAGGCGACGAUCCGUAGCUGGUCUGAGAGGAUGAUCAGCCACACUGGAACUGAGACACGGUCCAGACUCCUACGGGAGGCAGCAGUGGGGAAUAUUGGGCAAUGGGCGCAAGCCUGAUCCAGCCAUACCGCGUGGGUGAAGAAGGCCUUCGGGUUGUAAAGCCAUUUUGUUGGGAAAGAAAAGCAGCAGGUUAAUACCCCGCUGUUCUGACGGUACCCAAAGAAUAAGCACCGGCUAACUUCGUG
rnacentral:rRNA from 1 species